GCUUAGCCYUWAACCUAGACGUUGAAUUUACAAGCAACAUCCGCCAGGGUACUACAAGCGCUAGCUUAAAACCCAAAGGACUUGACGGUGUCUCAGACCCACCUAGAGGAGCCUGUUCUAGAACCGAUAAUCCCCGUUAAACCUCACCACCCCUUGUUUUCCUCCGCCUAUAUACCGCCGUCGCAAGCUUACCCUGUGAAGGCCUAAUAGUAAGCAAAAUGGGUAAAUCCCAAAACGUCAGGUCGAGGUGUAGCUUACGAGGUGGGAAGAAAUGGGCUACAUUUUCUAUAUCARAAUAAUACGAACAACACCAUGAAACUGGUGCUCGAAGGUGGAUUUAGUAGUAAAAAACAAAUAGAGAGUCUUUUUGAACCAGGCUCUGARACGCGC
rnacentral:rRNA from 1 species